rnacentral:rRNA from 1 species
GGGUCAGUAGGUUGGUCGUGCCACCGGUACGUACUGGUCUCACUGAUUUCUCCUUCCUGAAGAACCGUAAUGCCAUUAAUUUGGUGUUGCGGGGAAACAGGACUGUUACCUUGAAAAAAUUAGAGUGUUUAAAGCAAGCUAACGCUUGAAUACAUUAGCAUGGAAUAAUGAAAUAGGACGAUCGAUCCUAUUUUGUUGGUUUCUAGGAUUGACGUA